rnacentral:tRNA from 1 species
GCAGUCGUGGCCGAGUGGUUAAGGCGACGGACUAGAAAUCCAUUGGCUCCCCGCACAGGUUCGAAUCCUGUCAACUGCG